GAAAUGCGAUAAGUAGUGUGAAUUGCAGAAUUCAGUGAAUCAUCGAAUCUUUGAACGCACAUUGCGCCUCCGGGGCUUGUUCCGGAGGCAUGCCUGUUCGAGCGUCAUUAAAAACCACUCAAGCUGCUUUUGCUUGGUUAUGGUGGAGGAGCUACGUCCUGGUGCGGGCUCCCCUUCGAAAUCCAAUGGCGGAUGGCCUUGCGGCUGCCACGGCGUGAUAAGUUGAACCUUUCGCCUGGCUCCCGAGGCGCUCCUGCCCUCGAACCCCCAAUUUUCUACGGUUGACCUCGGAUCAGGUAGGGAUACCCGCUGAACUUAA
rnacentral:misc_RNA from 1 species